rnacentral:rRNA from 1 species
GACGUAGGGCGCGAGCGUUGUCCGGAUUUAUUGGGCGUAAAGAGCUCGUAGGCGGCUUGUCGCGUCGACUGUGAAAACCCGCGGCUUAACUGCGGGACUGCAGUCGAUACGGGCAGGCUAGAGUUCGGUAGGGGAGACUGGAAUUCCUGGUGUAGCGGUGAAAUGCGCAGAUAUCAGGAGGAACACCGGUGGCGAAGGCGGGUCUCUGGGCCGACACUGACGCUGAGGAGCGAAAGCGUGGGGAGCGAACAGG